GACUGACGCUCAGGUGCGAAAGCGUGGGGAGCAAACAGGAUUAGAUACCCUGGUAGUCCACGCCGUAAACGAUGUCGACUUGGAGGUUGUGCCCUUGAGGCGUGGCUUCCGGAGCUAACGCGUUAAGUCGACCGCCUGGGGAGUACGGCCGCAAGGUUAAAACUCAAAUGAAUUGACGGGGGCCCGCACAAGCGGUGGAGCAUGUGGUUUAAUUCGAUGCAACGCGAAGAACCUUACCUACUCUUGACAUCCAGAGAACUUAGCAGAGAUGCUUUGGUGCCUUCGGGAACUCUGAGACAGGUGCUGCAUGGCUGUCGUCAGCUCGUGUUGUGAAAUGUUGGGUUAAGUCCCGCAACGAGCGCAAC
rnacentral:rRNA from 1 species